CACACACACACUAGAAGAAAGAAAGAACCGGCAGAGAAGAAGAAAAAGGGAAAGAAAAGAGGGAAGAAAAAGAAGAAAAGGAAGGAAAGGAAAAAGAAAGGAAAAGAGGUAGUGGCUAUUCCAAUUUCAUUUUCAAUUUGUCUAAUUUCUUUAAAAGAUAUGGUAUGUUUUAUGCUUAAAUUUUUAGAGUUUUGAUUUUAUUUGUUUAAUCUUCAGAUUUUAAGGAAGGAAUAUAUAUGUUUUCUAGUCAAUAUUUUUGAAUUGGAGAUGCUAUUUACACUAGGGUAAGAAAUACCAAUUUUGGGCAAAACCCUAGAAUUUUCAUUUGGGUUUUUGAAUGAGUUUAGUUAACAGGAAAAUUUGUAAGGAUGAAAUACUCAUUUGAAGGCAUGAAUUUAUGGAUCAAGAUGGGAAAUUAAAUUGGUUAAAUUAUGAUUAUUAAUUUUACUAGUUUGGAAGAAUGAAUUAUUUUUUAUGUUUGGAGUGAAGAUUAUUGUAAUGAAUUAGCUAUUAAGAAAUGGACUAGAAAGUGGAAUUAGUUUGAAGUGAUUAAAGGAAAUUGGGGAAAAUAUUAUUCAAGUAUCGAGAAGUCAAGUUUUAGUAUUCGAUUACUAGUAUUAAGAAAUACUUAGUAUGGAAGUUGUUAGAUUAGUUAUUUUAUAUCGUAUUUCAGGUGGUAACGUGAAAGCUAGGCAAGGCUGGUAAAAUUGAACCAGAUUGCUAUUCAUAGAACUGUGAGUGGAAAAUCUACGUUUUCAAAAAGAAGAUUUCCUUUUUAUUUUAAAGCAUGUUAAUUACAUGAAAUGCCUUAUUUUCGAGAAUUAGUAAAUGAGCAUGAUUGUUUUGAAAUUAUCAUUUAAAUAAUUGAUGUGAUUAUCUUACUCUAGUGCACUGAGGGGCUACGGCCGUGUAAUAGAGUCAUGGAUUUAACUCCUAUACACUGAGAGGCUACAGCCGUGUAUAAAGGUAACUCUUAUCCACUGAGGAGCUACGGCCGUGUGUAAGGGUACCUAUUAUACACUGAGGGGCUACAGCCGUGUAUAAGGAUGAUUAUGUUGUUUUCAUCUUGUACACUGAGGGGCUACGGCCGUGUACAGAGUAUUGAUCAGACGGUUUAUGUGCAUAUGAUUUUAUAGCUUUCAGAUCAUCUGUGAUGAUUACAUGGAGUAUAUUUUGAUGUGAAUUUUAAGUAUAUAGCGGAUUAUUAGCUUUCAGCUUACAUUUUCCCGUUUAUAGUUCAGCUUAUGGAUUUUAGAUUAUGAUUUUAGCUUAGUGAGUUUGUCUAGUGUUCUCACUCAUCUUGUAUUAAUUAUUAUCAUCUUUCUUUUAUAUAUCAGCUUGAGUCUAAUUUAUAAUUUAGUACCAGAAUUUUGAGUUUAUACGAUGUUAUGAUACAGACAUCAAGAAUAAUGAGUACAUUAAGGUAAAUGUAGCUCUAUGUAUGUAUGACCAGAUUAUAGAAUUCAGUUAUUCAGUUCUAAGAAUAAAGUUUUCAGUUUAUAGUAUUGAGUAACAACAAUAUUUCAUAGAUUAUCAUGGGUACCAAAAUUUGUUAUACUUUACAGUUAUUUAUCUCGAAUAAAGAACAAAGAAUCUUAUGAUGCAGUCAUGUUUUAAAUGAGAAUGAUAGUCUGUGCUUCUCUCUAGCCCAUGCACAAGAUGAUGCUGUAGAGUGACACAAGCCCUUUUCAAAGUUUGUUAGAAACAUAAACGCUUAUGGAGCCAAAAUGACGGCUUCAAUCGCCCUAACUAAGGAGUGAGUGACUGGUGAGUAUUUGUCAAUUCACCUUUCAGAAGAUGAUUGAUUUUCGAACAGCGUAGACAAAAAGAAGAGGCAGCUAUAACAAGCUUAGGCAUCCGAUGGACAGAUGCAUCCAAAAGAGAGGAAACUUCACACCCGAAAUGAUCUAGUUUCUCAUUUAGACUAUCUACUUCUUUCUAUUUUUUAUUGUUGCCACCCCCAUUUGUCAUUUAACACACUUGUAGUUUUUCUUAAUCCAGGAUGUGGAUAGGCUCUCGUAUUUUGCUUCACUUAAUCAAUGUUGGUUUCUUUUCGAAGCAAUAACAUGUACCUAUCAUGCUAUUGAACAGAUCUACUUCAACGUGGAGUAUAUUUCCUUCCAUUUUAACACUUUUGUUUGUGACUAGGUGAAUCAUCC
rnacentral:lncRNA from 1 species